UCCGAUAUGGUGUAGUGGCUAACAUUAUCGCCUCUCAUGCAAGGUCGGUAUAGUUAUGAGGCGCGAUAGCCCGGGGUUCGAUUCCCCGUGUCGGAA